CAGUCGCCACGGUAAUACGUAGGUGGCAAGCGUUGUCCGGAAUUAUUGGGCGUAAAGGGCUCGCAGGCGGUUUCUUAAGUCUGAUGUGAAAGCCCCCGGCUCAACCGGGGAGGGUCAUUGGAAGCUGGGAAACUUGAGUGCAGAAGAGGAGAGUGGAAUUCCACGUGUAGCGGUGAAAUGCGUAGAGAUGUGGAGGAACACCAGUGGCGAAGGCGACUCUCUGGUCUGUAACUGACGCUGAGGAGCGAAAGCGUGGGGAGCGAACAGGAUUAGAUACCCCAGUAGUCCCUGUCUCUUAUAC
rnacentral:rRNA from 1 species